AACGAACGCUGGCGGCAUGCCUAACACAUGCAAGUCGAACGAGACCUUCGGGUCUAGUGGCGCACGGGUGCGUAACGCGUGGGAAUCUGCCCUUGGGUUCGGAAUAACAGCGAGAAAUUGCUGCUAAUACCGGAUGAUGACGUAAGUCCAAAGAUUUAUCGCCCAAGGAUGAGCCCGCGUAGGAUUAGCUAGUUGGUGAGGUAAAGGCUCACCAAGGCGACGAUCCUUAGCUGGUCUGAGAGGAUGAUCAGCCACACUGGGACUGAGACACGGCCCAGACUCCUACGGGAGGCAGCAGUGGGGAAUAUUGGACAAUGGGCGAAAGCCUGAUCCAGCAAUGCCGCGUGAGUGAUGAAGGCCUUAGGGUUGUAAAGCUCUUUUACCCGGGAUGAUAAUGACAGUACCCGGAGAAUAAGUCCCGGCUAACUUCGUGCCAGCAGCCGCGGU
rnacentral:rRNA from 1 species